GGGGAAUUUUGGACAAUGGGCGCAAGCCUGAUCCAGCGACGCCGCGUGGAGGACGAAGGCCUUCGGGUUGUAAACUCCUUUUGGAGGGGAAGAAUAAAUUGACGGUACCCUCAGAAAAAGCCACGGCUAACUACGUGCCAGCAGCCGCGGUAAUACGUAGGUGGCGAGCGUUACUCGGAAUUACUAGGCGUAAAGCGUAUGUAGGUGGUUAGAUAAGUCUAUGGUGAAAUUUCCUGGCUUAACUGGGAAGGGACAUAGAUACUAUCUGGCUUGAGUGUGGGAGGGGGAGACGGAAUUCCUGGUGUAGCGGUGAAAUGCGUAGAUAUCAGGAGGAACACCGAUGGCGAAAGCAGUCUCCUGGCCCAAUACUGACACUGAGGUACGAAAGCUAGGGUAGCAAAC
rnacentral:rRNA from 1 species